UACGGGGGGAGCAAGCGUUGUUCGGAUUUACUGGGCGUAAAGGGCGCGUAGGCGGCCACCGCAAGUCGACUGUGAAAUCUCCGGGCUUAACCCGGAAAGGUCAGCCGAUACUGCGGGGCUAGAGUGCAGAAGGGGCAACUGGAAUUCUCGGUGUAGCGGUGAAAUGCGCAGAUAUCGGGAAGAACACCCGUGGCGAAGGCGGCUCUCUGGAACGCAACUGACGCUGAGACGCGAAAGCGUGGGGAGCAAACAGG
rnacentral:rRNA from 1 species